UCCUCAGUGGGACUGAAGGUGUGGAACAGAAUGUCAAAAGAAGUCAAAAAAACUUCAAAAUUGGCCCAAAAUAAAAAGAGCAUAUUCGUCAAAUCAAAAGAAACCACAAAAGACACCGAUUCAAGUGAAUCUUAGGCUCUGUGAAGCACAGGAAGAAGACACUGAUGUCAGGAAUUGCCUUAUGCAGAUAAAGUGCUUUGAAAUUUUGUUCCAGACCUUGAGUGAAGUUUCUGUCUGCCUCUGGAGUAUAUUGCUCUCACCGAUGAAUAGGACGCUAUGAACUUGCCCUUUAAUUGGCUGGUCAAAAAAGUAGGCAGCACAUUCACUCAUGGAGUGGAUGACGUACAGAGAGGGACUCCAGACAAGCAUGCAUAGGCAGAAACCUUGCCGAGCAGAAGAUGCUGCCUUAAGUUAGAGGUCAGGCUCAGGAAGGAGUCAAAGAGCCCAUUGUGCUGCUGAGAAUUACCCACAGCCAAAUGCAUGCUGAGCCUUGCUUCCUGCACGGCGGAUACUGCUUACAGUCCCGUGAUUUUAAAAAAUAACUCUUUCUUCGUACAUCAGAGAUUACCACAAGUCACAGACCUUGUGAGCCAACCCGAACCUGGCUGGUGUCAGAGACUGACCAUCUAUUAUCCAAGAGCUGUCUCCUCCUCCUCCCAGGAAGGAUUUAGGAACUGCAGGCUGUACCAUUGACAAAGCUUCCCCCCAAGAUGAUGAAGCUGUAAUGCAAAUACAUGAGAUUCCCGCCAGAGGAACCUGAAGGAGGGCGAUGAAGUAUCAGAAGAGGACAGGACAAGGGAAGCAACUCACAGCCCUCCAGAACUGUCAAUCAAGGAUUUAGAGGGAUUUAGAAAGACAGUUUUAAAGGGAGCAUCAACCUUUCCUAUCAUGUUUAUAGCAGCCAAACAUAAGAUUUAAAGAUGCUGGCUUUCACAGAAUGACCCAGAAAGAUUAAAUCAGAGCCAACCUCAGAAUUAAGUGUGCCAGAUGCUGCACUGAGCCCUACAAUCAUCUUGUUUAAUCUCUCUGACGUCUGUGAUGGGUACGGUUAUCAUCUCUCCAUGACAGGUGGGGAAACUGAGGCUUUGGCCUUAUGCAACUCUAGGACCAAGCAGAGGGGUGUUGAAUCCACUAUUAGGUGUUACCUCUGAAAUGAAGAAAUGGUAGGUACCAUGAGUGUCCAGUAAAUAUUAAUUAAAGAUCUCUCAUGUUGAUCAGGC
rnacentral:lncRNA from 1 species